rnacentral:rRNA from 1 species
UGCGAUAAGCGCCGGUAAGGUGAUAUGAACCGUUAUAACCGGCGAUACCCGAAUGGGGAAACCCAGUGUGAUUCGUCACACUAUCAUUAACUGAAUCCAUAGGUUAAUGAGGCGAACCGGGGGAACUGAAACAUCUAAGUACCCCGAGGAAAAGAAAUCAACCGAGAUUCCCCCAGUAGCGGCGAGCGAACGGGGAGGAGCCCAGAGCCUGAAUCAGCAUGUGUGUUAGUGGAAGCGUCUGGAAAGGCGCGCGAUACAGGGUGACAGCCCCGUACACAAAAGCGCAUGUGCUGUGAGCUCGAUGAGUAGGGCGGGACACGUGGUAUCCUGUCUGAAUAUGGGGGGACCAUCCUCCAAGGCUAAAUACUCCUGACUGACCGAUAGUGAACCAGUACCGUGAGGGAAAGGCGAAAAGAACCCCGGCGAGGGGAGUGAAAAAGAACCUGAAACCGUGUACGUACAAGCAGUGGGAGCACCCUUCGGGGUGUGACUGCGUACCUUUUGUAUAAUGGGUCAGCGACUUAUAUUCUGUAGCAAGGUUAACCGUAUAGGGGAGC